GAAGAUGGAAGCCUGGAACUGCUUGAGAGAGAUUGCCUGUGAAGGAAGCCCACACAGGAAAUAAGAGGGCCAAGAGAUGGAGUGUGCCUGGAUCCAGCCAUGCCUGAAGCCAUUACCUCUUUGAACAUUUCAUUUAUCCUACAAGGAAAAAAUGAAGGAGCUGUCCAUGCUCUCACUGAUUUGCUCCUGCUUUUACCCAGAACCUUGCAACAUCAACAUCUACACCUAUGAUGGUGUCAUCCAGAAAGAAAUGUUAUGAGGGGAGAGCCAGUUGGCCUUUGGGGCUCAGAAGAUGCCAUCCUGUACU